GCCGGGGAGUCUUCUCUUUUCGUUGCUAUUGAUGACUGUGCCUCUAGUCCAUGUGAAUCUAGCUCAUGACUAGAUCCACACUCAUCCAUAGAAGCGGAACUUUGUCGUCCGAUCGCCG
rnacentral:precursor_RNA from 14 species